UGGGGAAUUUUGCACAAUGGGGGAAACCCUGAUGCAGCGACGCCGCGUGAUUUAGAAGGCCUUCGGGUUGUAAAAAUCUUUUGUAUGGGAAGAAAAUGACAGUACCAUACGAAUAAGGACCGGCUAAUUACGUGCCAGCAGCCGCGGUAAUACGUAAGGUCCGAGCGUUGUCCGGAAUCAUUGGGCGUAAAGGGUACGUAGGCGGAUAAGCAAGUUAGAAGUGAAAUCCUAUAGCUCAACUAUAGUAAGCUUUUAAAACUGCUCAUCUUGAGGUAUGGAAGGGAAAGUGGAAUUCCUAGUGUAUCGGUGAAAUGCGCAGAUAUUAGGAGGAAUACCGGUGGCGAAGGCGACUUUCUGGCCAUAUACUGACGCUGAGGUACGAAAGCGUGGGUAGCAAACAGG
rnacentral:rRNA from 1 species